UCUUUUCAAUCGAAUUCUCUUUUCAAUUCAAUUCGAACUAACAAAAUUCAAAGAGAAAAGUAAUCAAGACCAGUUUUGUGCUCGUGCAGCUCGACCGUGUCAGCGUCGCACAUCCGGCGUGAACUUAACAUAAAUUACCGAGUCGAGACUUCAAUGCCACUUCCCGAUCGGGCUAGCGGCGUAAUUCUAAGCAGUAGUCUGCGUUGCGCGGACCGUAUCAGGAAACGCCUUUCAUUAUUCAAAUUACUCUGGCUAAUCCGCGCCAUUAUCAGGUGCGCGAUCCAUUUAGAAGUAUAUCUCGACGGUAGUGCGAGUUAACGCGGUCGGCUUAUCGCGCCAGUAAAUUCGGUUUACGAUCGCCACGGCCGAACGAUCGGCUCUCUAGAUCGACAGUUAUGACGCCGUGAACGAAACACGAGCCACGAAGAAACCUUCCACGUUCCUCCGCGAGCGAGACAAAGAAGGACCAACGAACGAACAAACAUACAAGGGACAAAGAUGAAAAAGAAAAAGAAGGGGGAAAAGAAGAGGCGACGUGGCCGUGGUACCGUGGCCUUUUAUCUUGAUGGUGGACCAAGCGUCAUAGGGAGCGAACCAUUCGACCAAAGGCUCGUGCAACCGUCUGGAGAUCGAACGUAGCGAUAUCACGGCGAGUACACAGCGAUACCAGUUACACAAUGAAGUCUGAACACCAAUUACCCGAGAGAAAAAAUGCCCCGCUCGGCGAGUGGUCCCGUCUCUGCGCUCGCCCAGCUUCGCGCAACGGGGCCUUCGCUUCCUCAUCUUUGUCUUCUGCCCGCCACCAACAGAAAAUAAUAUCCGGAUAGAGGAAGGGGAAAGGACCAGGUAAAAAUCGUCGACAUAGGCGGCGAUUUUUCGAGAAUUUACCGGUUUCGUGGCUCUAUGGUACAGUGAUUCGUGGGUGGUGGCACGAGAAAGUUUAACGACGUUCUCUGUCAGUUUGGGUGGCAUGAUACGUUAGCGGACGAUACGUUUCGGUCGUUAAGACAAUAACGAUAAGCAGGCUCAAUGUUUGAAGAGUAAGUCGAUCUGGUACGUCAGAAGUUUAUACAGAGGAUUGCUUUCGACUCCCGGUUGGCACGCAUUUAGACUGCAUAACCACGAACGUGUAAUACGUAGUUAAUUAUACAAUAACACUGACUGAGGAGGAUAUUCUCAAUUUUACGCGUGAACUCUAUAUCGCCCGCUCCGAUUUAUUUUGGAGAAAAUACAUAGAAAUAGGGAAGAUACGAAGGAAGUGGAGCGUUAAGUGAAUUGUUCUAUACAUUCUUACAUGAGUUGACAUAUUUACGUGAUUAUUGUUUCUUCUUUGGUGUAUGUAUAUACUCCCAUAAUUCAAAACUGUUUAUUGCGCUGCGCCACAGUACAAAAGUCGGUAGAACUUCGAAGUCGGAUAUUAUUAUUUUUCUCUACGAGUUUACAAAAAGAAGAAAACGUUACAAUAGGAAUAAUACGUGAUGUUAUACUUUGUUCCAAAUAUAUAUAUAUGAAGUUCCAAGAAAUAAUUUUAUUCUUUAGAAAAUGAGAAUUAAAAUUGUAAUAUUAUCUCGAAGUAGCAAACCAAGAUCCUGAUUUGCCAUUAUUGCUAGAAAAUACAAAGAGAACUUCCAUAACGUUCUAGAUAUAAGAAAUAGCUAUAAACAAAGAGGAAAUAAAGUGUUACAAUUA